GCGGCAGGUUCCGGGCGUCGGGACAAUUCGUGAUGGCGGGGGCUGGUUCUGCCGCUGUAUCGGGGGCAGGGACCCCGGUGGCGGGGCCCACAGGCCGCGACCUUUUCGCCGAAGGUCUGCUGGAGUUCCUGCGACCCGCUGUGCAGCAGCUCGACUCUCACGUACACGCCGUCAGGUGCCCGGGAGGGAAGUUGGGGGCGGGGCCUGUCUCUCUGGCUUUGUAGGGGCGGGGCCAAGAAAGUGUUCUGGCUGGGAGUGGACAUAAAUUUAGGAAACUUAUUCGAGGCGGGGAGGACAGGCGGAAGGCCGCAGGUGGAGGGUUCAGCGGAGGCCGGCUUCUCUCAGUACUUGGUAAAUACGUAGGGGAGUUCGUUUCCUGAGCUCCGGUAACUGCCUGACCUUGUAGGCCUUGUACCUCUUUGCAGAGAGAGCCAGGUAGAGCUCCGGGAACAAAUUGACAACCUAGCCACAGAACUGUGCCGCAUAAAUGAGGAUCAGAAGGUGGCCCUGGAUCUUGACCCCUAUGUUAAGAAGCUACUUAAUGCCCGGCGACGCGUUGUCUUGGUUAACAACAUUCUACAGAAUGCUCAGGAACGACUGAGACGGCUAAACCACAGUGUUGCCAAGGAAACAGCCCGCAGG
rnacentral:sRNA from 1 species